rnacentral:lncRNA from 1 species
GCAAAGAAUAUUCUCUUGUCUUUAGCCAAAACUGCAGAUGAGCGAAAUGAAGCUAAUGAACUUUUAGGAAAUUUCAAUCACCCGAACAAUGAGCCAGGGAUUAACGGAUUAUCUAUUUCUGUUGAUGAGGAAGAUGAUGACGAUGACGAUGAUGAGGACGAUGAUGAUAACAUCUACCAUGAUGGUGAUGGUGAUGGUGAUGGUGAUGACAAUGAAGAUGAUGCAGAAGAGACCAUUGCUUGUUCUGGAAAGGAAG